CAGCGAAGCUUGCUCGCCGGAACAUCUACAGCCUCGUCCCCUGGACGCGCCCGCAUCUGAUCAGUCAUCUGCUGCUCCCGUUGAGGAAGUAAUCCCACCUCCCCCCGAGUUUCCCUCUGACCCGUGGCAAGCUUUCAUCGACUACAUGGCAGCUAAACCUGAAGCCACUCUGCCCAUCCCGGGCUCCGAGGGUCGAGUCCUCGAGCGCGGCAAAUACAAGGGCAAGGGCAUCGCCGUCUUCACCAGCGGCGGCGACUCCCAGGGCAUGAACGCAGCCGUGCGUGCCGUGGUCAGAAUGGGACUGUACGUGGGCG